AGUUGACACAUUGGACUCGUACUUGUACUCUUUGAAUGAGGUUAUCAUGUCUAAUAUUUAUUUUGAUAAUUGUAGAGCGGUACAUGUUGCUAUCUUCUUUUUGAAACCUUGUGACUAUAAUUUGAUUUGGUUCAACAUGUACAUAUAGAACCCUUUUGUUGGUAUUAUGUCGCAUGUGUUGUGACAUGAUAUUUUUGUUAGAAUAUACCGUAGUGUAUACCUGAGCUAUAACCACCUGUGGGGGUACCACAGGCAUGUCGUCUUGGCACGAGAGGCAUGACACUUUUCGUGGCGGUGUGAUUUGUCCACGGCGUCUCCGUUUUGGGCUCCGGAGGAAGUG
rnacentral:lncRNA from 1 species